AGACACUCGCAUAGUAUUGAUUACUGAUAUUCGCCAUCAUUCUCCUCCCCUCAAUUACUGGGAGUGGCUUGUGUCACUCGUAUAAAAGUGCCCUAGGGAGGAGUGUGCUGAAUGCAGAUGGGUGCCCUUUGAUGGAAAAAAUUGACUCCAGUCAGCAAGAACGGCGUCCUUUUUACAGAUUAUUAAUUCUCCAUUUUCCUCCAUCCUGAGCCUCAGAGGUUUUAAGCUAGGGCAUCGGGCAUCAUUGCCUUUUUCUUUCUAGUUGGGGCUCUGAUCAAACUUUCUAGGUCUGAGUUCACUCCUGGAGGGCUUGGGCGUUGUUGUAAGGCAUGCGUUUUUUAAUUCGGUAAAAAUUAAAUCUCUUCGGUUAAAUCUACUGUGAAAUUAAAACCUUGACUCAAACCUGACAUUCAGUAGAAUCCUUUGAAAGUGUCCUGAUUUUACGUCAACUCGAGUGGCCACAGUCGGCCUUGGGCCCCUUCCAAACUUUUCAGGCUCAGCUGCCUGACGGGAGAUGCAAGAUCAUUCUGAAAAGACAGACGCACAUUUCCAGGUGUGGAAAGAGCAGGCUGAGGUGGCUCAAGUUCAGAAGACUGGGUGUAGUCAGCCAAGAAAAUGCUUAGAAACGGAACUUUAUCCCAGUUUUAAGUGACUGUGCUGUUUGUGCUCGGUUCCCGUCUGAAAUGGAAAUGUUUAUGCUAAAUUUCUAGAUGAGAAAGAUGCUACCUUCUCCCAAGGGAGGGUUUUAGGAUGUGAUGGACAUAGCCUCGCCGUAGCACUGUGUCUUAACUUUGCUAAGGAGCAAUGCAACAUUUGUUGAGUAUAUACUAUGUACCAUGACUGACAGGGAUGAAGGGCAGUCUCUGCUCUCAGGAAACUCAAUGGCUGGAAUAAUAAGCUUUCACUUUUGAAGAUGCAAGUAUCUCAGCAUGGGUUAUAUAAAAACUGUGCCUGUCUUUUGAGUCAAAGGAAAAUAGCAAACUGAACACCAAAGGAAAUUAAAGGAUGAAGAUAAACGUGCAGCUAGGGAGGUUGCAGUGGGAAUCUGGACAACCAGACUGUGAAGCUGUGACUGAAGAUUCAGAUGGAUAGCCCUUGUCUUCUCACGUUUUUAUGGGAAGUGAAUGGCAAGAGUAAUUCGGAGGGACCAAAAGGGAAACACCACCAGUUCUGGAGGCUGAUGUGCAGCCCCGGUGUGUAUAAACGGCUGGCUCAUAGACAGAUUGCCCUUUGUGAAGUCUUGUAUCUGAAUCCUGUAGGAGCGCGUUUUCUCUCCAGCCUCCCACAUCCCCGUCGCUCCCUGUCAUCUCUCACAUUGCUGCUGCUUUCGUUUAUAUUAUUUGGCUCAAGCAUGGGAUAUCUGAAUUGAAAUGCCAUCUUUUCCUCUUCUCUUCUGUCGCAGUGGAGCAAGUGUCUCUCUUCCUGUUGAUGGUCAGCCUCUGCCCCUGUCUUCUGGAUCCCAUCU
rnacentral:lncRNA from 1 species